rnacentral:rRNA from 1 species
GUAGCAAUACUUAGUGGCAGACGGGUGAGUAACAUGUAGGUAUCUGCCCUUUGGCCUGGAAUAACACGAGGAAACUUGUGCUAAUACCGGAUAAGUCUUUACGGAGAAAGCUUUAUGCACCAUUGGAUGAGCCUGCACUUGAUUAGUUUGUUGGUGGGGUAAUGGCCUACCAAGACUGUGAUCAAUAGCUGAUUUGAGAGGAUGAUCAGCCACAUUGGGACUGAGACACGGCCCAAACUCCUACGGGAAGCAGCAGUGGGGAAUCUUGCACAAUGGAGGAAACUCUGAUGCAGCGAUGCCGCGUGAGUGAAGAAGGCCCUUGGGUUGUAAAGCUCUUUCGUCGGGGAAGAAAAUGACUGUACCCGAAUAAGAAGGUCCGGCUAACUUCGUGCCAGCAGCCGCGGUAAUACGAAGGGACCUAGCGUAGUUCGGAAUUACAGGGCUUAAAGGGUUCGUAGGUGGUUGAAAAAGUUAGUGGUGAAAUCCCAGAGCUUAACUCUGGAACUGCCAUUAAAACUUUUCAGCUAGAGUAUGAUAGAGGAAAGCAGAAUUUCUAGUGUAGAGGUGAAAUUCGUAGAUAUUAGAAAGAAUACCAAUUGCGAAGGCAGCUUUCUGGAUCAUUACUGACACUGAGGAACGAAAGCAUGGGUAGCGAAGAGGAUUAGAUACCCUCGUAGUCCAUGCCGUAAACGAUGUGUGUUAGACGUUGGAAAUUUAUUUUCAGUGUCGCAGCGAAAGCGAUAAACACACCGCCUGGGGAGUACGAC